rnacentral:rRNA from 1 species
UGGGGAAUAUUGCUCAAUGGGAGAAAUCCUGAAGCAGCAACGCCGCGUGGAGGAUGAAGGGUCUAUGACUUGUAAACUCCUGUAAAGAAGGAAAAAAUUCCCAUUAGAUGGGAGAUGAUGGUACUUCUGGAGUAAGCCCCGGCUAACUACGUGCCAGCAGCCGCGGUAAUACGUAGGGGGCAAGCGUUGUCCGGAUUUACUGGGUGUAAAGGGUGCUCAGGCGGAUUUGUAAGUCAGAGGUGAAAUCUUACAGCUUAACUGUGAAACUGCCUGUGAUACUGCAAGCCUAGAGUAUGGAAGAGAGUGAUGGAAUAUCUGGUGUAGCAGUGAAAUGCGUAGAUAUCAGAUAGAACACCAAUGGCGAAGGCAGUCACUUGGUCCAUUACUGACGCUAAAGCACGAAAGCGUGGGUAGCAAACA